rnacentral:snRNA from 1 species
AUCAUAUCUCUUUAUUUUGUUCA